rnacentral:rRNA from 1 species
UACGGAGGGUGCAAGCGUUGCUCGGAAUUACUGGGCGUAAAGCGACCGCAGGCGGGUACGCAAGUCAGGUGUGAAAGCCCAGGGCUCAACCCUGGAAUUGCAUUUGAAACUGCGUACCUGGAGUACGGGAGAGGGAAGUGGAAUUCCUGGUGUAGAGGUGAAAUUCAUAGAGAUCAGGAGGAACACCGGUGGCGAAAGCGGCUUCCUGGCCCGAUACUGACGCUCAUGGUCGAAAGCGUGGGGAGCAAACAGG